AAACCUCUCAUAUUCUUGUACAACCUGAAGUGAUAGAUGAGCAGUUGAGAGACACUGGUAAUGGCUAAUAUUGAAUUUCCUACCAAACUAGCAGCCUCUAAGUUCUGACAACACUCAAUUCAAUUCAGAGAAAGGUCCUCUCAAGAAAUGGAAGCUUAUGAAACCAAGAAGUGGGAG
rnacentral:lncRNA from 1 species